AAGUCGUAACAAGGUUUCCGUAGGUGAACCUGCGGAAGGAUCAUUACAGUAUAUUGAAUUCUUAUUCAUAUCAACCCACACUGUGUACCUUUUAUCUGUUGCUUCCAUGGGACAUGGCUCUGCCACGUCGGCCUUCGGGCUGGUGAGUUCCCAUGGAAGGAAACCCAAUACUCUUUUUAUUUUUGACAUCUGUCUGAAUAGUUUUUAUAAACGUUAAAACUUUCAACAACGGAUCUCUUGGUUCUC
rnacentral:misc_RNA from 1 species